AGAAGGAGAAGCAAUGCAGCAAAAAAAAAAAUGAAAUAAAAAGAUCAAAAUGUAGACUUCUUCAGAUGACUUCCUGUUGCAAUCAUUUUUGUUAUUAU
rnacentral:ribozyme from 1 species